rnacentral:rRNA from 1 species
UGGGGAAUUUUGGACAAUGGGCGCAAGCCUGAUCCAGCAAUGCCGCGUGAGUGAAGAAGGCCUUCGGGUUGUAAAGCUCUUUUGUCAGGGAAGAAACGGUUGGGGCUAAUAUCCUCGGCUAAUGACGGUACCUGAAGAAUAAGCACCGGCUAACUACGUGCCAGCAGCCGCGGUAAUACGUAGGGUGCAAGCGUUAAUCGGAAUUACUGGGCGUAAAGCGUGCGCAGGCGGUUUUUGUAAGUCUGUCGUGAAAGCCCCGGGCUCAACCUGGGAAUUGCGAUGGAGACUGCAAGGCUUGAAUCUGGCAGAGGGGGGUAGAAUUCCACGUGUAGCAGUGAAAUGCGUAGAGAUGUGGAGGAACACCGAUGGCGAAGGCAGCCCCCUGGGUCAAGAUUGACGCUCAUGCACGAAAGCGUGGGGAGCAAACAGGAUUAGAUACCC